ACAGAGUCUUGGGGUGAAGCAUUCAGAGAGGAGUUUGAUUGGAGCAAACACAGGAUGGUGUCAUUUCUUAUUGGCUAAGCACGGACCCACCCACCUGUUUAGCCAUUGACCAAUGAACAGCCAGGUUUUUCCAGGAAGUGGCUUUUAAUUACCCAGGAAGUUAAACUCUGUCAUGGCGUCUUUGCCACGCCCCAAACAAUUUGAGUUAAAAUGCUUGUCUGUUCAUUCACACAGAUGUUAACAGUGAGCGAAGUGUGUUUUCCAGUGACUCGUGGCUUUUUUUAAAAUAAAUAAAAUAAUUCCUGCAUUCAAAGGGAGUAUUGCAAAUGGAAGCCACCACAUGUUCAUCAAAUGUGUGAUGAGGAGGCUGGUGACUGAUGAAGCCCCUUGAAGAAGCAAGUAGGUGUCAACAGGGGACUGUUCUGAACCUUCCACCAUGUCACGCUCGCUACCUUCAAGCAGCAAUGAAGCCUGGUGCUGUGACCGGACCACGUCUACUGGAUCCAUCCCGGCCAUUUAAAGGGAAAAGUCUUAAAGGAGUCUUCAGCUGUGGCAGUGGAGCGUCGGGCAGCGGGUUAAGGAACGAUGACUCGGCCGACGGCGAGGACGAAGAGAAGCACAGAAAGGUGUUAUCCUUGUCUGACAACUCCCCAAUGAGUGAGCGAAAGAGAGCGAGAGUUGGAAGCAAAAAAGGGGAGACUAAGUGGAAUGAAUGCCAAGACAAAUUAGGUGAACCUGUUUGGCCUGACAAAGCUGGGAGGGAUCUAAUCAUCGUGUCUUAUGAGCCUACAGUCGCUGGAGUAGCUGUAAAUCAAAAGGAGACAGAUAAGUA
rnacentral:lncRNA from 1 species